rnacentral:rRNA from 1 species
GACGAACGCUGGCGGCGUGCCUAAUACAUGCAAGUCGAACGCUUCUUUUCUACCGAGUGCUUGCACUCACUUGAAAAGAGGAGUGGCGGACGGGUGAGUAACACGUGGGUAACCUGCCCAUCAGAAGGGGAUAACACUUGGAAACAGGUGCUAAUACCGUAUAACAAUGAGAACCGCAUGGUUCUCAUUUGAAAGGCGCUUUCGGGUGUCGCUGAUGGAUGGACCCGCGGUGCAUUAGCUAGUUGGUGAGGUAACGGCUCACCAAGGCAACGAUGCAUAGCCGACCUGAGAGGGUGAUCGGCCACACUGGGACUGAGACACGGCCCAGACUCCUACGGGAGGCAGCAGUAGGGAAUCUUCGGCAAUGGACGAAAGUCUGACCGAGCAACGCCGCGUGAGUGAAGAAGGUUUUCGGAUCGUAAAACUCUGUUGUUAGAGAAGAACAAGCGGGAGAGUAACUGCUCCCGCCUUGACGGUAUCUAACCAGAAAGCCACGGCUAACUACGUGCCAGCCGCCGCCGUAACAC